rnacentral:lncRNA from 1 species
CAAGUUCAUCUGCCGUUUACCGUGCACUGUUGGACACAAGCCUUCACAAGGGGAGUUUUGCCAGUAGUUGCCACGCUUGGCAGGCAGAUGGCCUGCAAUGC